CAGUAGCCGCGGUAAUACGUAGGGUGCAAGCGUCAAUCGGAAUUACUGGGCGUAAAGCGUGCGCAGGCGGUUAUAUAAGACAGAUGUGAAAUCCCCGGGCUCAACCUGGGAACUGCAUUUGUGACUGUAUAGCUAGAGUACGGCAGAGGGGGAUGGAAUUCCGCGUGUAGCAGUGAAAUGCGUAGAUAUGCGGAGGAACACCGAUGGCGAAGGCAAUCCCCUGGGCCUGUACUGACGCUCAUGCACGAAAGCGUGGGGAGCAAACAGGAUUAGAUACCCCGGUAGUCCCUGUCUCUUAUAU
rnacentral:rRNA from 1 species